GUUUUUAAGGAUUCCGUUGUUGAUUCACAUAUCAAUCUUCUGCCAGAUGUUGUUGGAAGGUGCAUGCAUUUUCUUAUCACCCUGGAAUUAUUACCUCGUGCACUUUUAAUUUGUCAGACAAUCCAAGAUGUUAAUAUUAAUUUGAUGAUGAUCAUAAAACGGCGAGCUUGCUGCAAAGGAUUCGAUCGUACACAGUUACGUCAACAACUUUAAUGCAUUCGACACAAAGUUAUCACCUGACGAAGCUAAGCAACUAGAAAGCAUGUUCGAGAGGUGUUGUUUCGGUGUUUCCUAAUCAAUAAAGAAAACUUCAUACAACAAAAACAUGGGAUUUCUCGGGAUUUCCUCAAAAUGUUAAAAGAAAAGCGAAACUGGAGAGCAACUUAGUUGCGGGAUUAAUAGAUACAGGGAUUACACUGGUAUCUGAGAGCGUUAAUGACAAAGGGUUUGGUCCUCCACCAGCUAAAUGGAAGGGAUCUUGCGGCCCUUAUGCCAAUUUUUCUUGCAACAACGUCACUUGGUCUUAUCAACACUUAUGACACCACAAGUGCUGCUGACAUGGAUUAGAAGAUCAAAAUUCAAGACUACUGCAGCACUAGCUGCACUGCUAGUUGUUCUUUUUUCAGAUUUUCUCAUUUUCAAGACUUAGUGUGUUUGUGUGUGGCUACUGCUACUUUUUUUUUCCAGAUUUUCAAGACAUUGUUUGUUUGGUUUGUUAGUAAUAUUGCUACUUAUUAGUUGCUGCUUUGAAUGAGAAUUUGUUAUAUAG